CCUUCUUCAUCUUCUCUUCUUCUUCUUCUUCUCCUUCUCUCACAGCUUCAGAGUUGGGAGAGAAACAUUGCCAAAACAGAGGCCGAAGAUGCAAAGAAGCUCGGGUCUAGCUCCAUGCGUCGGCACCAAAUCCGGGUCGCAAGGAUUGCAGCGACUAAUCUGAAGAUAUGGAUCAACACAACCACCUAUCUUCAAGAAAUUUUAAUAAUCAUCAGCUAGGUGCUCUGGUGGUUGCAUCAAGGCAUUUCGGAGGUGUCAAAUACAAGUCGAAAGCUCCAAGGAAACCGCUGCAGCAUCAAGAAGAGCCUGCAAAAGAUGACAUGGAAGCAUUGACGUAACUGGCAAAGCUACAGAGAUUCAUGGAAUCAUCAACUUACAAACAAUGCACAAGAAUACAAAUACUAACACAAAGUUACAGUGCGACAGCAAAUGGUGUCACAUCUGAAGGAAACACAUCGCUGCUGGUUCCGGUCCCCUCAUUUGAUUCCAUGUAAGUUAUAAGAUUGAAAUCCUUUUCACUAGAAAAGAAAAAAAAAGGAAAGCAGGGUCAUAGUUAGGUUACCUUCCGCCAUAUAGAAGAAAUCCAAGGGCAGCAAACAAAGAAACACCUACAAGACGUAGAGUCAAAAGCAUAACUGAUCAGUAUCACUGUGAUAAGAAUAAAACACUGCUUUGAGGUUCAAAGAGCAGAACAACCUGCAAAAAACAUCUUCGAAAGGAUAACUACAACUGGAAUAGGUUUCCACCACAGGAUCAACCACAUUGCUAUCUGAACAACAAAUUUCAGAUUUAAAAACAUGAGUGAACAAAAGUGGAAACAUUUUCUAUAAAAUAUCAUUUUUUACAGGUCCAAAAAUCAUCCACACCAAGAGAAGUAGAAUAACAUACAAUAUCUCACUCAGACAAGAAACUGUAGCAUGUGUAAUUUGGCAAGCCAAGUUUUUCAUUACAUCAACUUAUUCCACUAAGGUUGGGUUGACUAUACGAAUCCUUUUACACCCUUGCACUCAAUCUUAUGUCAUCUCUUCACUGGUGUUUCCCAAACCACAUGUCCUAAAUCACCUCAAACAGCUUUCCUUAUCUUGUCCUUAAUUAAAUUUAUAACCUCUUUUCCUCAAACAAAUUAGUUUCUAAAUACCAUGUUUGUCUCAAGUAUCUAUUCGUCGAAAGAAACAUUCUCAUCUCUGCUACACUCAAUUUUAUGCACUUGUUGGUAUUUGACAGCACAAUCUACUGUGUCAUGCUAGAGCAUUAUUGUUGCUUAUUAAAUCUGCCUAUGUGAGAUUUA